rnacentral:piRNA from 1 species
UCCCGAAAGCUUGCACAGGCCCAGCCUC